rnacentral:rRNA from 1 species
GUGGCCCUACGGGGCGCAGCAGUGAGGAAUAUUGGUCAAUGGGCUUACGCCUGAACCAGCCAAGUCGCGUGAGGGAAGACUGCCCUAUGGGUUGUAAACCUCUUUUGUCAGGGAGCAACGCCGGCUACGUGUAGCCGGACUGAGAGUACCUGAAGAAAAAGCAUCGGCUAACUACGUGCCAGCAGCCGCGGUAAUACGUAGGGGGCAAGCGUUAUCCGGAUUUACUGGGUGUAAAGGGAGCGUAGGCGGCGAUGCAAGUCAGAAGUGAAAGCCCGGGGCUCAACUCCGGGACUGCUUUUGAAACU